AACCAACUAGGCCCGCCAACCCACAAGCAGAUAGAAAAUAAGCUGAUUCUAUAGGACAGAAAAAGGAAGAGGGCAGGGGUCAUAAGGGGAUGUAAGCAUAAGAUACCCAAGCCAGAAACAGCAACCCUUCCAGGUCCCCUUCCCCCACGUGGAAGCUUUCCUUUCACUUUCGCUUUAAUAAAUCUUGCCGCAGCACACUCUCUAAUCGAGCUGUAACACUCGCCACUGCCGUCCACGGCUUCAUUCCUUGAAGCCGUGAGACCACGAACCCUUCGAUUGAGAAGAACCUUCGGUCGGAAGAAGACUUCUCGUCUCAGUAACAAUAACAAGAAAAACAGCCUAGACUAGACGCACAUCAGGAAGACAGGUACCCAGCAUAACCCCAUUGAAGAGCUGUUCCCUGGGACCUGGAGAGGAACACAGCAGGCUGCCAUGCCCACUGCACCUGCAGUUUUAAAAAGGGGAGUUUUCCUGCACAAGCUCUCUCUUUGCCUGCUGCCAUCCAUGGAAGAUAUGACUUGCUCCUCCUUGCCUUCUGCCAUGAUUGUGAGGCCUCCCCAGCCACAUUGAAAUUGUCGGCCACAGCCGCAGAAUAAACAUGUGGAGAAGGUCAUUGAUCACCUUGACUGAAGCACUGCAGACAAGAUAAAGACAGCCUGAUGCAGAGGAAGAUUGAGGACUAAGGGGCUUCAUCCACAGUUAAUCCCGUCAUGUAUUGACCCGGAAACAUCAUCUCAUUUGCCUAUAAGACAGAGAGAGAGAAUGAUAGAAAUGCUGGAAGAACGAGCCUUGGGGCGGUAUCGCCCAGAUCUGAAUCCACACAGCAGCUGCUUCGGUCCCUGUAACUCAAGGCUUCCUCUUAAUCCUCUGUCCUCCAUCAACACCUGGCUGAGCAGGAACAACUAUGACCUAGGACCAGGGCCUUCAGGAAUCUUCACCCCUAACUUGAACUUCAUAACACUGGAGAGAGAGACUGUGGAAUGGAAUGACUCUCCAGAGCUGCAGAUUGAAGGCAUAUUUUCAUCUGACUUUGAUCUCAAUGGCGGGAACACCUUCAUGGCCCCUUUAUAGCUGGUAUGUUUUCUUCUUAUGGACAAUGAGAAACAUGUAAUAAACUGUGUUUCCUUCUCGCUAGGAAACCCUGAGUUAAAGCUUUACUUCCCUCUCAGGAACCAUCAAAGAGCCAUAAUCUGUACACCCUGGUGCAACAUUUCCCCUGGAUUUGAUCCCCUUUCAAUUGUUUUAGCCUUAUUUUACAUUUCUUAAAUCUAUUUCUCUAUGUUGCCAUGUGUAUUAUCAAAUGCUAUUUCAGAUGCCAACCAUGAGCUAAAGCAUAUGUUGGAAUUAUUAAGAGAAACAGAGGGAUAUACUUAUGUAAAAUAACACAUAUAAAUGCAAUGCUGAUUUUUUUUCCUUAAGAAGUCUUUAACAAUUGCUUCGGAGGAAUCUGCUUUUCACU
rnacentral:lncRNA from 1 species